AAUUAUUCCUGUCACACAAGAAAUGUUUCUUAUCACGCUCACAUGAAACAAAAGAUUAUGAGAUAGACAUAGAUGGAACAUACAAAACAAGCACACCAGUAAAUGUAAGUAAUAAUUACACCUUUUUUGAAAUAUGUUGUACAUCAAAAUACUGGUCAAAUUUGAAUAAAAUAUUUUUGAUGUUGAUUGAUUUUUUGGCUUUAUUUUAGUCACAUGAAACAAAAGAUGAUGAGAUCCACACAGAUGGAACAUACAAUUUAAACUUUUCAUUGCAUCUAAAUAUUAAUAAUGUCAUCAC